CUUGUACUCUCUCUAUCCGAAAAUACUUGUCGGAGAAAUGAAUGUAUCUAGACGUAUUUUAAUUCUAGAUACAUCUAUUUUUAUGCAUUUCUUCGACAAGUAUUUCCGGACGGAGGGAGUAUUUA
rnacentral:pre_miRNA from 1 species